AUUUAUAUAGUUUAUAACAAAACAUUUCAUUUUCAAUGAAAAAAGGGACAUUCUCCUAUAAAUU
rnacentral:tRNA from 1 species